CAGAAAUUACUAACUAAUUUUUAGAAGGUCUUGAGAACUUUGUGCACGUCUAAACGUGAUACGUGACGCACGUGUGACGUAACCAAGCGGUGACGUAAUUUUAGGCGUGUGAGGAGACGCAUCGACCCAAGACCCGCUAUGCUUUUGCUUUAUAACGGUGUCGAAGUGCCCGCGUUCAUAGAAACCAAGGUUCGGCUUCGUUAGCAGCGCUGAGGGAACUUCGCGCAGUUCAAAGUUCGGUUCCGUUCUUUGGAUCUUUGGAACAAGAACGUUUAGUAGAACAUGAAGGAGUUUUUUAUUCUAAUUUUUCUUCCUCUCACAGAUUCAGUGAAACACACCCUGACUUAUUUCCUCACCACCUCCACUGGACAAAAAACCCUCCCAGAGUUUGUGGGUGUUGCGACGCUUGAUGGAGUGAAUGUCGGUUUCUGCGACGGCAUCAACAGAACAGAAAUCAGAUCAGACUGGAUGGAAGAAGUAAAGGAAAAACACCCUGAGCUCAUGGUGUGGAACAACGACAACUGCAUCGGAGCUAAUCAUGUUUCUAAAGUCCAGAUUCAAGACAUUCAGCAGUUCUUUGACCAAACUCAAGGUGUUCACACUUUGCAGGAGUUGGUCGGUUGUGAGUUUGAUGAUCAGACUGAUCUCUACACUGGCUUUGACUUCUAUGGUUAUGAUGGAGCAGGUUUCGUAUCAUUGGACCCAAAGAGGAUGACGUGGACGUACACGGAGCGAGCUGAACCCUACAAACACCAGUGGGAUCCAAACGAAACGCUGCUGCUGCUCGUUAAGGACUUUAUAAUGAACUUUUGCCCUGAAUGGUUGAAGGUGUGUUUGCUCUAUGGGAAGAAGUCGUUGCAGAGAAAAGUUCCUCCCUCAGUGUCUCUGCUCCAGAAGUCCCCCUCGUCUCCAAUCAGCUGCUUCGCUACAGGUUUCUACCCAAACAGAGCCGACAUGUUCUGGAGGAGAGAUGGAGAACAGACCCAUGAGGACGUGGACCAUGGAGAGAUCCUCCCCAACCCUGAUGGAACCUUCCAGAUGAGGGUCCACCUGGACCUUUCAUCAGUCACAGCUCAGGACUGGAGCAGAUAUGAAUGUGUGUUUAAACUGUCUGGAAUGAAGGACGACGUCAUCAUUAGACUGGACCGAGCUGAGAUCAGAACCAAUGAAGUUUAUAAUUCUCAUCCUCCUCAUCUGAUCUUACUUCAAGUCUCAUAAAUUCCUCCCUCCAGCCUUGUACUUGCUGUUGUCAUUGGAGCCGUGGUUCUGCUGCUGACAGUCGGCAUCGCUGGAAUCUUCAUGUGGAGGAGGAGGAGACAGGCUGCUGCUUAUUAGAAGAGGACGCCAGCAAAGGUGCUUCCAAUGAUCUGACCUCCACUUGGAGGAAAGUUUGUGAGCUGUGUGCUCAUUAUCGUCAUGUGUCAUUCCUCUAUUUCAUGUUCAUUUUUAUCCAGAGCUGUGUGUUGACCUUUAGUCCAAGGCUCCACAAACAACCGUCCUCUGGUGGAGGGAACGGAGCAGACGAGGCUCAGAUUCUGUCUGUUCAGCUCUGUGUGGAGCAGCUGUGCUCUGAUACUGGGCAGCAGCAAAGUUAAGAACCCUGGUCCAGUUUGACCAGUAAACUGUGUUAACAUUAAACUCUGUUAAAAACAAACUGUCUGUUAUUGAAUAAACUGUUUGUUAAUAAUAAACUAUUAGAAUCAUA